GAUGAACGCUAGCUACAGGCUUAACACAUGCAAGUCGAGGGGCGAGCACAGUGUAGCAAUACAUGGGUGGCGACCGGCGCACGGGUGAGUAACACGUAUCCAACCUGUCCCAUACUCGGGGAGUAGCCUUUCGUAAAGAAAAGAUUAAUACCCGACUGGUAUCAGAUUAAGGCAUCUUGAUUUGAUUAAAGAAUUUCGGUAUGGGGUGGGGAUGCGUUCCAUUAGCUUGUUGGCGGGGUAACGGCCCACCAAGGCGACGAUGGAUAGGGGUUCUGAGAGGAAGGUCCCCC
rnacentral:rRNA from 1 species